GAGAGCUGCAGUCAUCUGCUGCGGGUCUUUUAUUGCGUGGCAAGUUUAGGAUAACAUUUUCAAAACAAACAACUUCAGACCUCUAAGUCCUCACGAGAUGAUACAAUACAUGGAUCUCAAGUGCAUCUGUGGGUUUCCCAGACGCCCGUGCGGGACUCCUGGCCACCGGAUGGUGGAUGGUACGCUCUGCCUUCAGAAUGGCUCUUCCCACUGUUCUGAAAUGCCCUCCCUCAUAGACACCUCAGGUGACUCUAAAUCCAGUCAACUUGUCAAAGAUCGUCAGAGGAGCAGGCUCUUCGGUGGAGAUCUUUUGGGUGGAGGCCCAGCAGGGCGGAGGAUGGCAGCUGCGUGGCUGCCCUGCAACAAUGGACAGAACCAACUUCUACUUUGUUUGCAAGGAACAGAUCCAAAAGAACGAAGAAUGGUGGAACGUGCUCCCUGCCCCGCAAGAAUCUGUGCGUUCUUUGUAACUCCUUUAGAGCAGGGCAGGGCAGGAUGUGUGGGGCACCAGGAUCGAAUUUCUGCUCCAGCCAUGUUCCUGCAUCCCAGCCAGCAGACAGGGAGGAAGACAGGUAGCAACAUAUACCAACAUGUUCAGGAGCAUAUUCCUAUAUGUAGGCGUGGCAAAUGUACACAACCAGCCGCAGUGUAACCAUCUUAAGUGUGCGGCUUAGCAUGUUCUCUGGACUUAAACUUGUUCACCUUGCUGUGCAAACAUUACCAGCGUCAUAUCUUGAAUCCUUUUUAAUCCUCUUGUAAUGGCUAUUCCUGACUGUCAACUUGACUAUAUCUGCAAUCCAGAAUUGGAGGGCUCACCUGUGAUCCAGAUCUUGAGGCUGGAAGACACAAGUUUCUGACCUGGAUCUUGGCAUGGAGAUCUUGAGGCAUAGUGGCCAUGAAAAGCUUAGGCCCAGGCAGAGUAAGUAGUGUACUCAUUUAACCCCAGGAGACUGAGGCAUGGAGAUCUCUGAGUUCAAGGUCAGCCUGGGGCAAAGCAAGUCCCGGGUCCAGGUGUAGUGGCACACACCUUUAACCUGGGCCAUACCUUCUGCUGGAGACCAACAUAAGGACAUUGGAAGAAGGAAGAUUUACUCUCUCUCUUUUUCGCCUGCUUGUCUUGUGGGACUGAGCAACUGCUAGAUCCUUGGACUUCCAUUCACAGCUGCUGCUGACCAUUGUUGGGAGUUGAACUACAGAUUGUAAGUCAUCAACAAACUCCCUUACUAUAUAGAGACUACCCACAAGUUCUGUGACUCUAGAGAACCCUGGCUAACACACCUCUCAAACAGAAACUCCGGUAAACAAUUACUCUCUCUCCAGCCCCUCUACCUUCUGUUCUUGGGAUCUGACUACUCUAAAUCCAUGAAUCGAGUCCUGCCAACAUUUGUCGAUGGCUGGUCCUGUUCAUGGUAGUUCAUGAAUAUCAUGACAUCGGUGUUCAAUUGACAUCUAGGCCAGAAUUCCCUUUGCCAGGCUGAAUACUAUUAACACACACACACACACACACACAUACACACACUUUGCAUGUACUUCCCCAUGCACUUGCUGGUAGAUGGUUGGGUUGCUUCUUUGCUUUUCGCUUAUGUGAAUAAUGCUACAGUGAAUAUGAACAUACAGAUGCCCUUUGUUCCCCCAGAAGUUUCGUAUUCUCACGUAUAAUGCACAAGGGAGGACAUUUCUCCACUUCUUACCGAUGCUCAUUUUCUGGGUUGUUUUUGUUUGUUUGCUUAAAGAGUCUGGAAGGGCACCGCACGGUGGUUCUCAUUUGUACAUCCCUAACAGAGCAUUUUGCCCUGUGCCCGUUCAUCAGUACUAGUUCAUAUCCCUGGAAACAUACCUGUCCAUUCAAUUCACUUGUGCAUGGAUUGAACUGUUCCGUAGAGUGGACUUUAACUCCUAUCAGAUGGACAACUUGUACUGUACUCUCUUUCCCUUUCUCUGGGUUAUCUUUUCCUUCGAUUGGUAAUACCGUUUGAUACACAGAAGGUUUUUCUCAAUAUAAUCCAAUAGUCUUUCACAUGUCUACUUUGGCAAGACAUCCUUCCACCGGUGUGUCCCAGCAAAACAUCAUUUGACAUAACUAACUUUCCCAAGAAGCAAGAAAUUUCCACUUCACAGGGAUCCUGCCCAGCUCCUUGGGGUGGCUACCUCACAAGCUGUGUGGUUUAAUGUCUUCUGUCUUCUGUGCUUGGAAGACAGUCCUCACCUUUUCUAGCCACUCUCAGCUCAACCAUCACGUCACCUGGGAAGCCUUCCUUGCUCCUCCCCAGGGAAUUAAACAUGUUUUCUUUUGCUCCUCUGGGCCUUGCCACCCAAGGACUUUGUUACUCUUUGCCUGUUUGUAUUUGUCUGUCUACUUUCCCAUUCAAGCUUGAGCUCUCUGUGUG
ensembl:lincRNA